rnacentral:rRNA from 1 species
AGUGAACGCUGGCGGUAGGCCUAACACAUGCAAGUCGAACGGCAGCACAGUAAGAGCUUGCCCUUACGGGUGGCGAGUGGCGGACGGGUGAGGAAUACAUCGGAAUCUACUUUUUCGUGGGGGAUAACGUAGGGAAACUUACGCUAAUACCGCAUACGACCUACGGGUGAAAGCAGUGGAUCUUCGGACCUUGCGCGAUUGAAUGAGCCGAUGUCGGAUUAGCUAGUUGGCGGGGUAAAGGCCCACCAAGGCGACGAUCCGUAGCUGGUCUGAGAGGAUGAUCAGCCACACUGGAACUGAGACACGGUCCAGACUCCUACGGGAGGCAGCAGUGGGGAAUAUUGGACAAUGGGCGCAAGCCUGAUCCAGCCAUACCGCGUGAGUGAAGAAGGCCUUCGGGUUGUAAAGCCCUUUUGUUGGGAAAGAAAAGCAGCAGGUUAAUACCCCGCUGUUCUGACGGUACCCAAAGAAUAAGCACCGGCUAACUUCGUG